rnacentral:rRNA from 1 species
AUUGAACGCUGGCGGCAGGCCUAACACAUGCAAGUCGAGCGGAUGAAGGGAGCUUGCUCCUGGAUUCAGCGGCGGACGGGUGAGUAAUGCCUAGGAAUCUGCCUGGUAGUGGGGGAUAACGUCCGGAAACGGGCGCUAAUACCGCAUACGUCCUGAGGGAGAAAGUGGGGGAUCUUCGGACCUCACGCUAUCAGAUGAGCCUAGGUCGGAUUAGCUAGUUGGUGGGGUAAAGGCCUACCAAGGCGACGAUCCGUAACUGGUCUGAGAGGAUGAUCAGUCACACUGGAAGUGAGACACGGUCCAGACUCCUACGGGAGGCAGCAGUGGGGAAUAUUGGACGAUGGGCGAAAGCCUGAUACAGCCAUGCCGCGUGUGUGAAGAAGGUCUUCGGAUUGUAAAGCACUUUAAGUUGGGAGGAAGGGCAGUAAGUUAAUACCUUGCUGUUUUGACGUUACCAACAGAAUAAGCACCGGCUAACUUCGUG